rnacentral:rRNA from 1 species
AUAAAUGAUCAUAAAAUGUUGAAAUUACGAAAUCUUGUCCGAUCUGUCAAGUUAAGCAAUAUUGGGCCUGGUUAGUGCAUGGAUUGGGGAUGGUCCAGAAACCCUAGGUGUUGCAGACA